rnacentral:rRNA from 1 species
GAGUUUGAUCCUGGCUCAGAACGAACGCUGGCGGCGUGCCUAACACAUGCAAGUCGAACGUGAUCCAGAGCUUGCUCUGGUGAAAGUGGCGCACGGGUGAGUAACGCGUGGAUAACCUACCCUGGUAUCCGGGAUAACAUUCCGAAAGGGGUGCUAAUACCGGAUAAGCCCACGGGCUCCUUGGAGCUUGCGGGAAAAGGUGGCCUCUAUUUAUAAGCUACUGUAUCAGGGUGGGUCCGCGUACCAUUAGCUAGUAGGCGGUGUAACGGACCACCAAGGCGACGAUGGUUAGCUGGUCUGAGAGGAUGAUCAGCCACACUGGAACUGAGACACGGUCCAGACUCCUACGGGAGGCAGCAGUGGGGAAUUUUGCGCAAUGGGGGAAACCCUGACGCAGCAACGCCGCGUGAGUGAUGAAGGCCUUUGGGUCGUAAAGCUCUGUCAGAGGGGAAGAAAUGAUAUAGUGCUAAUACCACUUUAUCUUGACGGUACCCUCAAAGGAAGCACCGGCUAACUCCGUGCCAGCAGCCGCGGUAAUAC